AUCAUCCCGUUCAGCUCAUCUCACAAGCAAACAACAUUCAAGAGAAGCCCGCCAGCCAAACAGACUCAUCAUCCCCGUUCAGUUCAUCUCACAAGCAAACGACAUUCCAGAGAAGCCCGCCAGCCAAACAGACUCAUCAUCCCCGUUCAGCUCAUGUCACAAGGAAACAACAUUCAAGAGAAGCCCGCCAGCCAAACAGACUCAUCAUCCCCGUUCAGCUCAUCUCACAAGCAAACAACAUUCAAGAGAAGCCCGCCAGCCAAACAGACUAAUCAUCCCCAUUCAGCUCAUCUCACAAGGAAACAUCUGACAAUGUGAGGACUGCAAGCUAGCUCCAAUAAGUGGUUCAAGAAAAGCACAUUUACCAAGGACAUGACAGAGAGAAAAGCAGAGGAGAAGAAGAUUUUCACUGCCUACCCCCACCUCCCGGAGAUGUUUAAAUCAGAAAACGAGGAAAUCUCAAACACCUGACACAGCACAGGGCAAGCCAAGCCUACAGGACAAGGUAGAUACAAUGGGCAAGUGAAGCAUUUAGAUAUAGGCAAGGCAAGAUCUGUUAGGGUGACCCACAAGUCAAGUCAGUGUGACCCAUUUUCUAUCUAUCAUUUCUAUGAUGUGAUUUUUAAAACUGACCCUGCCCAACCCAUUUUGUCUCUCCUGCCUUGAGGCAUUUUUGUUGGGGGUGGUUUGAAGAGUUGUAAUAUUAUCCUCCCGUGAGUUUAAUACAAACAAAUGAUGUAUAAAUUAACAAAUGAGGAAUCUAUGAAAGACACUUGACACAGCACAGAGCAAGCCACGCCUACAGGACAAAACAGAUACUAUGGUCAAGUGCAGACUUUAGCCUCUCCUCAGUUGAUAACAAAGGUAGAAACUAGUAGAAGUCUCUUUGUGAUUCUACUUUUUAGGCUUGUAGAAGGCUUGCUUUAUAAUCUUGAAUGAGAUCAGGAAAUAUAUAGGGUAAAUAAAGUAUUCAUGUUUCUUCUAUACAAUUUUCAAAUGCAACAAUUCUGAUUCCAUUAUUUUUUUUAAAAGGUAAUGAGUUUUGAGUUUUGAAAAUCUUUUGAAGGCCUACAUUUUUUCUCAUAUCAUAUGAAGCAUGUUUCCCACUCAUAUUAUGUGAAGCAAGUAUUAGAUUAUUCUUAUCCCAUUCAAAAAUAUUUUGUUGCUUUGGGAGAACAAUGGUGAUUUCAUGCAUAUAUAGGUAUGCUUUGUUAAACCACCUCGUGUAUACCUGGCAUGAAAACUAUUCAUUCUGAAAUGCAUGAGA